UACGUAGGGUCCGAGCGUUGUCCGGAAUUAUUGGGCGUAAAGGGCUCGUAGGCGGUCCGUCGCGUCGGGAGUGAAAACUCGGAGCUUAACUCCGAGCCUGCUUCCGAUACGGGCAGACUAGAGGUAGGCAGGGGAGAGCGGAACUCCUGGUGUAGCGGUGGAAUGCGCAGAUAUCAGGAAGAACACCCGGGGCGAAGGCGGCUCUCUGGAACGCAACUGACGCUGAGACGCGAAAGCGUGGGGAGCAAACAGG
rnacentral:rRNA from 1 species